rnacentral:lncRNA from 10 species
UUUUUUGUAUUUUUUAGUAGAGACGAGGUUUCACCAUGUUAGUCAGGAUGGUCUCGAUCUCCUGACCUCGUGACCCGCCCGCCUCGGCCUCCCAAAUGCUGGGAUUACAGGCGUGAGCCAAUGUGCCCAGCCCUACUUUUGAAGUCUGGAAUCACAGUGUUCCCUAAACAGGGUUUACUUCCAUUCUUCCUUUUCACUGUGAAUGGCACUAUCACUGUUCAUCCAGUAAGCCAAGCCAGAAACCUAGGAGUCUUCUUUGGCCCCACAUUUACUUUGGUGACAUCAAGCAGCUAACUCAAUAAAAUAAUAGCAACGGUUAGUUUUUCAACAUUUACCGUGUACCAGACUCUCUCUGCCAAGUGAUAUAUCUGAAUAAUACCUGUGUGUGAGGUGCUAGAUACUGAUAUUUCCAUUUUAUAUCUGAGGAAGUUGAUGCACAGUGAGGCUUCAUAACUUGACCAAGGUCUCACACAGGUUGACAGAGCUGGGAUUUGAACUUGGGCAAUGUAAUUUCAGAUCCUGCCUUUGACAUCACUAUAUUAUACCAUGUCCAAAGAUGAUCCACAAAGUAUUCCAUGAUCCAAAUUUUUUUAGUUCUUGUGUAGAUGACCUGGAUAAGUUACCUGUUAAUUUGUUUCCAACUCUACCUAGCACAAAUAGGUGGUUUAAGAAAUACUUUACUAUCACACUGUUC